rnacentral:rRNA from 1 species
CUACGGGUUGCACCAGCUAAGAAUCUUCCGCAAUGGACGAAAGUCUGACGGAGCGACGCCGCGUGAACGAAGAAGGCCGUGAGGUUGUAAAGUUCUUUUCUUGUGGAGGAAUAAAGUUGGGAGUGACUGCCCGACAGAUGACGUUAAACAAGGAAUAAGCCCCGGCUAAGUACGUGCCAGCAGCCGCGGUAACACGUAAGGGGCGAGCGUUGUUCGGAAUUAUUGGGCGUAAAGGGCGCGUAGGCGGUUACGCAAGUCUGGUGUGAAAUACUACAGCUCAACUGUAGGAACGCACUGGAAACUGUGUGACUUGAGUGUAAGAGGGGAAACUGGAAUUCCUAGUGUAGGGGUGAAAUCUGUAGAUAUUAGGAAGAACACCGGUGGCGAAGGCGAGUUUCUAGCUAUACACUGACGCUGAGGCGCGAAAGUGUGGGGAGCGAACAGGAUUAGAUACCCGGGUAGUC